GCCAGACUCCUACGGGAGGCAGCAGUGGGGAAUAUUGCACAAUGGGGGAAACCCUGAUGCAGCGACGCCGCGUGAGUGAAGAAGUAUUUCGGUAUGUAAAGCUCUAUCAGCAGGGAAGAAAUAGCGACCUUUGGGUCGCCAGACGGUACCUGAUUAAGAAGCCACGGCUAACUACGUGCCAGCAGCCGCGGUAAUACGUAGGUGGCGAGCGUUGUCCGGAUUUACUGGGUGUAAAGGGCGCGUAGGCGGGAAUGCAAGUCAGAUGUGAAAUCCAUGGGCUUAACCCAUGAACUGCAUUUGAAACUGUAUUUCUUGAGUGUCGGAGAGGUAGACGGAAUUCCUAGUGUAGCGGUGAAAUGCGUAGAUAUUAGGAGGAACACCAGUGGCGAAGGCGGUCUACUGGACGAUAACUGACGCUGAGGCGCGAAAGCGUGGGGAGCAAACAGGAUUAGAUACCCCGGUA
rnacentral:rRNA from 1 species